rnacentral:lncRNA from 1 species
CUGGACCCUCACUGAUUUUGGUGUCAUUCCUGCAUUAUCUUCACUGUCCUGAUUUUCAUUAUUUCGUUCAUUUCUUUGAUUGGUGCUCACUCCAUCAUUUAGUGAGUCCCUCUAAAUUUGAAGAGGUUCCUCUAGUUCUGCGCCAUCCUUGUAUCUCAAGUCCACCAUGCUUUUGAUUCAUCAAAGAUAACAUGGACGCUUUCUUCUACACACUGGGUCCUCUUGUUAAAAAACCUGUAAGCCUUGCUUGUUGAUGAGUACACAACAGACACCUUUUCAUCACUCUUAGUAUCAAACUUUUCAAGAUCAUCUUUGCCAUUGUUUAGGAUAAAGCACUUGCAUCCAAUGGCCCUUAGGUAACCCAGUUUGGGUUUCUACUGUUCAACAGUUCAUAUGGAGUUUUGUUCAGCAUUGAUCUAAUCAAGCAUCUAUUUGUUACAUGGAAGGCAGUGUUUACUGCCUCAGCCUAAAAAUUCUUCUGGAAACCAAAUUCUAUCAACAUUGUACUUGCAAUAUCCAUCUGUUCUUUCUUUCCACAACUCUAUUUUGUUAGGGAUUUCUAGAUGCUGAUAAAUUGUGACUGAUUCCAUGCUCUGCACAAAACUGGUCCAUCUUAUAUCCGUUAGUAUUGUGUUGAGAAAUUCGGAUUGUUACACCAUUCACAACUUCAGGGGGUAUAUCCGUUCCAUUGGUCGCAAUUCCUCAGUUCCCUUUUAUAUCAUAUUUGAGCUAGGUUUAGGGGGUUUAUCAUUCUUCGCACCAAAUUUGUUUUGGCCAGCAACUGGAGCCUAAUGUUGUGGUAUGUCCACUUUAGAUGCUUCACAAUUGCCCUAGGCCUAGUUGAGUAUUUCUAGUUUGUCGUUCACUAAAGGAGCACUGUUCCAUUGGAUUUGAGUGAGCCCUCAAGAUUUGAGAAGUAAUUUGUCUUCCAUUUCUCUUUGGACUAUCCUCAUGUGAUGGUGCAUGAACUCUGAUACUACUAGUAGCUAUUAAUGUGUUCAAUAUCCACAUUGAGGCCUCGCACUAAUAGUGAUUCGGCCGCAUAAGAUCCAGGGGAAUAGUUUCCUAAUUUUUUUUUUUUGCAUAUUUAAGGCUUGAACACGAGAUCAUUGAUUAAGAGUGAAGGAAUCCUAUUCAUUCCACCAUUGGAUAUUUGCAUUUUUCAGCAUUAUGUAUCCAUGUGUGUUGUAUAAUUUUUGGAUUUGAUGAUAGCUUAGAUGAAGUACUGAUCUUUGCCAUUAAUAUAUCAAUCUUGAAUAAUAGUGUAUAAGAUUUUCGUUUACUGAACAUUUACACAGCUUCCAUUCUUUGUAGGACAAUUAAACUUGGGAGGAGUGAAACUUAACCAUCAGACUUAAUUAUCAGAGAACAGCAAGCAGUUAAUGAUGGACUAUACAAGUUAAUCUUCUGCAAAGGUCUGCCAGAAUUACUAAUAAGGCAUAUUAGGUUUGUGAAGACAGCUGAAUUUCUCAAAGAUUACCAAGUAUUAAUUAAGAAAGAAACAGACAGAAAUCUAGGGUUCUAAUAUAUAAAUCAAUGAGCUCAGUACAAAAAAAAAAAAAAUGUGAUCCCAAUCUUGGCAAAGAUUUUCCUUGACUAACCGAAAUGAUGCUCUGGUGCACUUGCAAUGAGAAAUAAAGGAAAAAGAACAAAAAAACGGUACUGGAACAACCAUUCUAAUCAUUUUCUUGGAUUACAGUGUUCAUAACUUAAGAAAAUGGAGAAUGUGGUCCAGGGUGCAGCGAACACUCUAAAUGUCUUAAAUCUUCAAAAAAAAAAUUCAGGAUGAAUGUGAGAAUGUUGUUUCAACGGACAGCACGGAUCCUGACAUCUCUCUUGCUACUUGAUAAAAUAAAUUACAGUAGAAAAAAUGCUGCUGAGAUAUUUUAUGAUGCGUUUAUAGCAGCAUGGAUUUGUUCCAAAGUUCUUCCUUUGGUUUCAGGUACUAUCUUGAUCACAAACAAAAUGGAGAGCGCAUUUACUGCAGCAUAAAGAACGAAAGUACCUGCAAAC